GAUGAACGCUGGCGGCGUGCCUAAUACAUGCAAGUCGAGCGAACGGACGAGAAGCUUGCUUUUCUGAUGUUAGCGGCGGACGGGUGAGUAACACGUGGAUAACCUACCUAUAAGACUGGGAUAACUUCGGGAAACCGGAGCUAAUACCGGAUAAUAUUUUGAACCGCAUGGUUCAAAAGUGAAAGACGGUCUUGCUGCCACUUAUAGAUGGAUCCGCGCUGCAUUAGCUAGUUGGUAAGGUAACGGCUUACCAAGGCAACGAUGCAUAGCCGACCUGAGAGGGUGAUCGGCCACACUGGAACUGAGACACGGUCCAGACUCCUACGGGAGGCAGCAGUAGGGAAUCUUCCGCAAUGGGCGAAAGCCUGACGGAGCAACGCCGCGUGAGUGAUGAAGGUCUUCGGAUCGUAAAACUCUGUUAUUAUGGAAGAACAUAUGUGUAAGUAACUGUGCACAUCUUGACGGUACCUAAUCAGAAAGCCACGGCUAACUACGUG
rnacentral:rRNA from 1 species